GGGGAUUUAGCUCAGUGGUAGAGUGCUUGCCUAGCAAACGCAAGGCCCUGGGUUCGAUCCCCAGCUCCA
rfam:Rattus norvegicus chromosome 10, whole genome shotgun sequence.